GACGAACGCUGGCGGCGUGCUUAACACAUGCAAGUCGAACGGUGAAGCGCUUUCCUUUUUGGUUGGUGUGGAUGAGUGGCGAACGGGUGAGUAACACGUGAGUAACCUGCCCCCUUCUUCUGGAUAACCGCAUGAAAGUGUGGCUAAUACGGGAUAUUCUGCGCCUGCUGCAUGGUGGGUGUGGGAAAGAUUGUGCCUUUGGGUGUUUUCGGUGGGGGAUGGGCUCGCGGCCUAUCAGCUUGUUGGUGGGGUGAUGGCCUACCAAGGCGGUGACGGGUAGCCGGCCUGAGAGGGUGGACGAUCACACUGGGACUGAGACACGGCCCAGACUCCUACGGGAGGCAGCAGUGGGGAAUAUUGCACAAUGGGCGCAAGCCUGAUGCAGCGACGCCGCGUGAGAGAUGGAGGCCUUCGGGUUGUGAACCUCUUUCGCCAGUGAAGCAGGCCUGCUCCUUGUGGGUGGGUUGACGGUAGCUGGAUAAGAAGCGCCGGCUAACUACGUG
rnacentral:rRNA from 1 species